UGGCAGAUCAGAGGAGGGGUCAAAAUCCCUAGCGGCAGCUAAUCCCCAUUGCGCCUGGCACAUCUCUCUUCUCCCCCAUCCUCCUUCUCCACCUCCGGACGCCGCCAGGGCUAGGCCGCCGUGGUGGUGCGCCUCCCAUCCACCUGCACCACUCCACUCCGCCGCCUCAGCCAUCCAUCCACCGUGCGCCUCCCAGCCACCAGCACCUCCCACCACAUCACCCAUCUCCAUCCACCAGCGCCACUCACCAGCAUCACAACGCUUCCCCGCACCUCGCACCCCUGUGCUGCUGCUCUUCUUCUCCAACUGCCACUGCUCCUCCCCUUGUCCCUUCUGCUGAUGCUCUUCCCUGCUGUCCUUCUUCCCUUGCCUUGCUCCUUCUCCAUCUCUUGCUGCUACUUCUUCUUCUCUGAACCUCAUUUCUUCUCCUUGCAUCCCCUUGUUGCAGCGCCUCUUUCUUUGCUGCUGCUUCUCUUCUCACGCCCCCUGCUACUUUUCUUCUCCAAGCACCGCUGCUUCUUCUCCAUCACGAAACUGUUGCCCCUCUCUUGCUGCGCCCCUGCUGCUUCUUCUCACGCUGCUGCUGCUCUCUAUCCCCAUGUCCCUGCUGCUGUUCUUCUCUGAAACCUCAAAACUGCUGCUUCUUCUCCCUCUCUCUAUUCUCUAAUUUUCUGUAAUCUUGAGUAGUGUAAUGUUCAGUACUUUGAAAUGUUCAGAAUUGAGAUGUGUAGCACUUGUAAGGUUCAGAUUUUGAUAAGUGUUUGCAAUAAACUAGUUUGUUCAGUUCGUACUUGUUAAAUAUCAUGUCAUAAAUUCUAUGUUCUGAAUAGUGGAUUUCUUGUUGCUUUGGGAACUAACUCAUAUGUAAUAUUUUGUUACUUUGGUAAUUAGUGUUCUGUCAGCAUAUAUGUGUGUUCACCCUGUGUAUUUCUUCUCGCUGUCUAGUUAAAUUCUAUCAGUAUUAGUUGUUAAAUACUGUUGUGUUGAUCUGUGGGUACUAAUCUUGUGGCUUGUAAGAUUUCAUUUCUGUUGUCACUUGUGUAACCUGAACCGUGGUGUAGUAUCAUGUUCGCAUAUGUGUGGUUUUGUGUGUUCUGUAGUCCCCGUAUCAGCUAUGUACCUGUGAUAUAUGAAUGUGCGUGUGUGUGUUUGAUUUGAAACAAUUAUAUUCUGUCAUAUACUGUCGCUUCUUCCUACUGUUAUAUGUUUGAUACUAAUGUGUCCUCGUCUUGUAGCUUUACUUGAUAUUGACUCCUGUUUGUGUUAGUAUUUUAAUUCCUCAAAUAAAACAAAAUACCAAAAAGAUAGUGAGUAAUAUCUUAACCUCCCUUUGCUAUUUUGCAUUUUCUUGGUGGCCUAUCUUUGGGUACAAUCAUUGUUAGUUUAGAUUCUUAUUUUCUGCAUUUAUCUCUUAAAAUUGUGCUACCUAGCUUUAGCCGAGCAUAGUCGUCGUCGCCUAGUCCCUGUGGAGAACACGACAUCCGUAGUUUGGGGCGUAAAAACCCCGCUAUACUUUCAAAUGAUCAUUUUGGCGCCGUUGCCGGGGACUAGCGUCGAGCGAUUGUGCUAGGCUAUAGACUAGGUUUUUCUUGUUUUCAUCUUGUGCCAUAUAUUUGUGAUAUAUCUCUAGCCACUAACCCCUGUUCUAGUUAUUAUCUUUUUGUCUUCUUUUCCUUUUUGCAGGUUGGAUUAUCCUCUCGCAAAUGGCAUUCUAUUCAGAUCAUCAUGCUUAUGCGAGCAACACUACAAACAACACGGAAAGUAUACAAGAACUGAUAAGUAAGAUUUCCCAUCGAUUAGAUGAUUUAGCUCGACAGCGAGAGGUAGUUUUUGAGGAUAGGCCUAGCUCUUAUGAUCCUUAUUCUAGAGGUCAUCCUUAUGUUGCUCCUACAUGCCAUAUUUGUGGUUACUCUCACCCUCCCGAUUGUUAUGGCACGAGCUUCGCCCCACAGCCUAGCUCAUACCAAAAAAAUUACACACAUGGGUGGCCUGAAAACCAGAAUAUGUCAUAUAGGAGCAAUAACCCUGAGAUCUCAUCAUUUUCCUCUAGUUAUCCGAUGCAGGGAUUUAGGUAUGAAGAGGAGAGCCACAACUAAGCUCCACAACAGAUUUAUUCAGCUCCUACUCAUAUACCUCAACACCAGGACAUGUUGCCAAUGGAGUUAAAUGGUCCUCCAUUUGGUCAACCAACAUCUUCAACACAAGUGCCCACACAAGAUGACUUUGAUGAUAUAUACAAGCUCACAUUGCUUGGUCUAGAGUUCACUUGGAGUGCCGAAGAUGAUCCAAUUAGGCCGGUGAUACUAGAGGAAAUGAAGAAGAUUAAGAGUGGAAAGGAUCUAGUGGAAGAAGUAAAGAAGAUUGAGAAGAACAUCAACACUGGUAGUACUAUUUCUUCAUAGCUUGAGCUGAGUAAUUCUGGGAUUCUCCUUGAUACAUGUGAGGUUCCAAUACCGUCACAUCCAGCUGAGCAAGAUAGCAAGUGCCUUGAGCAUGAGAUACCUCAGAUUGAAGAAGAUGAACUAGAAGACAAGGAACAAGAUGAUGAAGAGCUGCAAUUCCCAAGUGAUCAAGUUGAAGACUCGUCAUCUACUACUCCUGAAGAAGUACAAGAAGCUGCUGUAGAUGAAGAUGAAGAACCUGAGAUUCAUUGGCCUGUUGUCAUACAUGAGCGUGAUGUGUCAGGUUUACCCAAUCCUCUUGAUGACAUGCUCCCUUGUGAUUUCUUUGCUUCUAACUUGCAUUGCAUGAUGCCAUUACUUAAGGUAGAUUUGAAAAACUAUUUGCUUGGAUAUGAUCAUAUAUACCCUGUUAGUGGCAUUACUCUCAUUUGUGAUGAUCACAAUUACUUUCCUCGUGCUAGUUCUAUGCUUAAUGAAACAUAUCAUUCCCAUGUUAGUCUUGAGCUUAAUGAUAAAUAUCAUCCUCAUGUUAGCAUUGAGCUUACUGAUUUGUACCAUCCUAAACAUGUGCUUUAUAGCUAUGCUUAUGUAAUUGGGUACUCUAUAGAUGAUUUAGAGGGCAUUACCCUUGUCACUUGUAUUGUUUCCUUGGUUGAGUGCUCUUUCAGGUUGUUGCUUGUGCACGAUCCACUACAUGCUGACCAAGUUCGAGAUGACAUUCCCUGGGACCCAGGUGGACCCAUGGCAUGGGGAUGAGGAGAAGCAAGGAGCACACAUGAAGAGAGAAGCUGGAGCAGGCAUGAGGAUAGAGAAGCAAAAGGAGAGGAGUUGCAGUUGGUGAGGUGAUCGAGCGAGUGCUACAUCAUCAAAGCCCGAAAAGUGCGCAAAGGCACUAUAAACUUCAAGAUCUGGACUAGUGGCUAAGAGAACCAGUCAAGUGAAAAGGAAGAAGAAAGACAGAGGGACUUGUGUGUGAAGAAAUGAUGCUCCAUGGGACAAGUUAAAGAAGAAAGGGACCUUCUUAUGAAGAAAGAAGAAAAGGAGAAGGGCCAAAAAUGCAAAGUGGCAGAUCAGAGGAGGGGUCAAAAUCCCUAGCGGCAGCUAAUCCCCAUUGCGCCUGGCACAUCUCUCUUCUCCCCCAUCCUCCUUCUCCACCUCCGGCCGCCGCCACGGCCAGGCCGCUGUGGUGGUGCGCCUCCCAUCCACCUGCACCACUCCACUCCGCCACCUCAGCCAUCCAUCCACCGUGCGCCUCCCAGCCACCAGCACCUCCCACCACAUCACCCAUCUCCAUCCACCAGCACCACUCACCAGCAUCACAGCGCUUCCCCGCACCUCGCGCCCCUGUGAUGCUGCUCUUCUUCUCCAACUGCCGCUGCUCCUCCCCUUGUCCCUUCUGCUGAUGCUCUUCCCUGCUGUCCUUCUUCCCUUGCCUUGCUCCUUCUCCAUCUCUUGCUGCUACUUCUUCUUCUCUGAACCUCAUUUCUUCUCCUUGCAUCCCCUUGUUGCCGCGCCUCUUUCUUUGCUACUGCUUCUCUUCUCACGCCCCCUGCUACUUUUCUUCUCCAAGCCCCGCUGCUUCUUCUCCAUCACGAAACUGCUGCCCCUCUCUUGCUGCGCCCCUGCCGCUUCUUCUCACGCUGCUGCUGCUCUCUAUCCCCACGUCCCUGCUGCUGCUCUUCUCUGAAACCUCAAAACUGCUGCUUCUUCUCCCUCUCUCUAUUCUCUAAUUUUCGGUAAUCUUGAGUAGUGUAAUGUUCAGUACUUUGAAAUGUUCAGAAUUGAGAUGUGUAGCUCUUGUAAGGUUCAGAUUUUGAUAUGUGUUUGCAAUAAACUAGUUUGUUCAGUUCGUACUUGUUAAAUAUCAUGUCAUAAAUUCUAUGUUUUGAAUAGUGGAUUUCUUGUUGCUUUGGGAA